AUUGAACGCUGGCGGCGUGCUUAACACAUGCAAGUCGAUCGGUAACAGGUGUAGCAAUACAUGCUGACGAGAGGCGGACGGGUGAGUAAUGCUUGGGAAUCUGCCUAUUAGUGGGGGACAACCCGGGGAAACUCGGGCUAAUACCGCAUACGCUCUACGGAGGGAAGCCGGGGACCGCAAGGCCUGGCGCUAAUAGAUGAGCCCAAGUCGGAUUAGCUAGUUGGUAGGGUAACGGCCUACCAAGGCGACAAUCCGUAGCUGGUCUGAGAGGACGACCAGCCACACCGGAACUGAGACACGGUCCGGACUCCUACGGGAGGCAGCAGUGGGGAAUAUUGGACAAUGGGGGCAACCCUGAUCCAGCGACGCCGCGUGGGUGAAGAAGGCCUGCGGGUUGUAAAGCCCUUUCGGUGGGAAGAAAAGUCUCGACCUAAUACGUCGGGACCUUGACGUAACCCACUAAAGAAGCACCGGCUAACUCUGUGCCAGCAGCCGCGGUAAC
rnacentral:rRNA from 1 species